GUGCAAACUGUCCUCAAGUCAAUGUUGCAUUGGUUCUCUGGGUCAGAGUAAAUCACAACUCUUUUUGUCACAAUGCAAUUUAAAUUUCAGGAUUGGACAAAAGAAUUUCUGUUGACCUCUCUGAGCAAUAUCCAAGACAUUACCUUGGCCUGAAGUAUGAUUUCCUCAAGCCAUCGAGGCCCUCCAGUCAUCCUAUCUCCAUUCCUGUCAGCAUGGCUACAAUCAGAUUGAUCUGCAACCCAGUCAAGUGCUGGGGGAGUUCAAACAGUGCAAUUCUCUCACUACCAGAAAAAAAAAAGGAAAAGGAAAAGAAGUUCAGCGGCCUGGGGAAGCUGCUACAUGGGAUGGGGCCCUACACCACAGGUGGCUGCAGAGAGUCUGCAGGCGGCCAGAGGGAGACGAGAUGGAGGAGCGCCCAUUUUCUCUUUUCUUUUAAGAUGGAAGUGACCUAAGGGGACGGAAUUGCUCGAGAGGGAGAAGGUGAAAGAACAGGAGAGGCCAAGGAAAGGAGCAGGGCCAUCUCCACUGCUGAGACCUUCCCAGAAGUCUGGCCUGAAGUGGAGAGAAAGACCAGCUGGUGGCGCAACCUCCGUGAAGUGGGGACCACGUCUGCUGAGAAAGGGGAGGAGGGCCGGGGGGGAACUUGAGGAGCUGGAAGGAAUUUUAAAAUGCUGCCAUGAGGAACAAAGUAGAAAGAUGGUGAGCUCGGAUGUGAGGCCCGGCUGAAUCCUCGGCGGGAGGUGUGCGGGCAGGAGUAAUUCCCUACGUCUGACUCCUGGUCACCUGCAGCUCUUCUGUGUUUUCCGUGGCCAGAAGACUCCUCUGAUCCCUAACGAAGUUGGAUAUUUACAUUAUGAAGUCUUAUUUUAAACCUCUGAGCGGGGAAAACUUUAAAACAGAAGCAUAGCAUUACAUAAAAAUGGUAAUACAGUUUUAUUAUUUGAAAGAUCAAAAUACAAAUGCAUUUAUAAUAAGGCAUUUUAAAGACUAUUCCCAUUACAGUAACUAUGUUGUCAUGCUCUACUUAAGAGUCCAGAACUUUCAUGCACAUGCAUUACGUAUGCAUCGAUAUAUGAACAAUAUAUGGAAAAGACAGCAUGCACAGCCUACCAAGAGACGGUUCUCUUCCUCACCGUGAUCAUCAUUCAGAAUAUUCUGCAUGUCCAUUCUGGUUUGCACUCUCUGACUUCUACGUCAGAGUCUAGGCCUCAGUAUACCUUCCUGCAUUUUAGCCCAAACAUAUAGUGAAGUAGAGCAGGACAGAGAAUUCCUUUCCUAAAAAUGAAAUCAGCAGUACAGGCAUCUAGAUUCCCUUAAACAACCAUCUGAGGCUUGCUGACUGCUGGCUCUGUGCUUUUGUGGAGUUAUGCUGCUCUCCUCUCCCUCGCCCUCACGCUUCUCACCAGCACCGGGCAAGCAUCUCAGACAGGAUGGCCUGCAUGGAGCUCAGUGCUGAGGGCAAGGGUGGCCUCACAGGUUUGCAAAUAUAUACAGGGGCUGUUUGUGCUUCUGAGCAAUCUCUGCCCACUGACCCCUGUGUCCAGUAAAAGCGGCAGAGGGAACAAGGACUGCUAAUGACAGUGCAAGACACAGAUAACACCACACACUUUGAUUACAAAUAGGCCUUGUUGCUAAUUAAUGUUUACAUAAAACAAUUAACAAAAUAUUUCAGUGUGAAAUUUCUCUUUUAAAAUGCACUACAAAAACCACAUAUUUUAAACAGUCAACUAAAUGACAAAGUCGUCUACAAAUUUGUCUAUAGUCUUGCUGAGUACCUCUAAUUUAUAGCAGCUUAGCUGGUCUCUCAAUGCCCCCUGGAGCUUAGAGGUAGAAGAUUCUAUAAUGUCAACAAGAGGACAUGCAGACAGUAAAAUAUAGAUGGGAAAAGUUUAGCUUCACAAUGAUUUAAGCAACACAAAUAACUAUGAAGUUUCAUUAACUAUUCCCAAUAAAUUGAUAAAAUCCAGCUUACAGCAAUAAACAGCUGAUUAUAAGUGGAACAGGACAAAGGACACCUCAAACAUCUCUGAUGACACUGCAAAUCACCAGAUAUUGUAACCUCUUUGGGAGCACAGUCAUGCAAUACGUGAUAAUAACCAAAAAACUCUGACCCAGCAAUUCCACCUUUGGAAACAGCCCCAAGGAGUUAGGACAAAGGUAGGAAAAGAAAAUUCUGUACAAAGACAUUUACUAAAGUUGCUCUCCAUACGAGAAGGACAUGUAAGACAAUCCUAUCAACCAAAGGGUGUCUUAGCAAACCACAGUAUGCAGGCACACCAUGAAUGUCUGAGGGGCCAUCAUAAUGCUACCACUGUCAACUGAGUCCAUGCAGGGAAUUUUAUAUGUGAAAUAAUAAAUGAAAGUAAGGGGAGAACACAAUAGAAUCAAUAUGUAACUUGCAAUAGAUGAAAAUGUAUAUGGGUACACAGAUCACAUCAGGAGUGAAUGAAGAAUGGUAUAAAUAAAUGGUAUUUAGAGAUUUCUGUUGUUGAUGUUGCUGUUGUAAAGUUGAGUCCAAAACAAACUUUAAAUUUACAAAACAAAAAGGGACACCUAGAGCUAUCCAUGGAUGCUGAGUCAUACCCAUGGUGAGUGCUGUGGGCCCAGAGCAGACCUUGGCUCAGCCAGGAUUUCUCAGCCUCGGCACUACCAACAUUUUGGGCCAGAUAAUUCUUUGCUGUGGGGCU
ensembl:lncRNA